CCUGAAGCGACGGCGAUACGUUUCCGGGGUGACGGCAUAUCUGGUGAGCAGUGCAGCCUUCACCCGGCGAUACUGCGCAAUAUCUUCCUCAGUAAGCGCCCGAAAAGCCUCAUUUGCUUUUCCUGAUAGCUUUCCAGCCAAAAUAGUGACCCAUUGGUCUAGUGGUAUUUGGUAUAGUGAGCACUGCCUCUCGAAGUCAGCCAAAUAUCCGUCAAUCUCUUCCUCACUUUCCACAAACGCUUUGAACGCAGUGAAGGGUAUUUUCUGCCCUGUAGCAGCGGGUGGGGGAGUGUGAACUGCGUGUGCAAUGGGUUGUCUAGCUCUUGCCAGUUCAAGUUCGUGUCCCCUCCUAUUUUGUAUCUCUGUUCUCGCUUCCCGGAACAGCUGAUCUAUUAGUUCCACGGAUGUUGCUGGG